UUAAGCGACUAAGCGUACACGGUGGAUGCCCUGGCAGUCAGAGGCGAUGAAGGACGUGCUAAUCUGCGAAAAGCGCCGGCGAGGUGAUAUGAACCCUUGACCCGGCGAUGUCCGAAUGGGGAAACCCAGUGUGUUCCGACACACUAUCGUUAACUGAAUACAUAGGUUAACGAGGCGAACCGGGGGAACUGAAACAUCUAAGUACCCCGAGGAAAAGAAAUCAACCGAGAUUCCCCCAGUAGCGGCGAGCGAACGGGGAGCAGCCCGGAGUCUGAAUCAGCUUGUGUGUUAGUGGAACGGUCUGGAAAGUCCGACGGUACAGGGUGAUAGUCCCGUACACGAAAAUGCACAUGCUGUGAACUCGAAGAGUAGGGCGGGACACGUGGUAUCCUGUCUGAAUAUGGGGGGACCAUCCUCCAAGGCUAAAUACUCCUGACUGACCGAUAGUGAACCAGUACCGUGAGGGAAAGGCGAAAAGAACCCCGGCGAGGGGAGUGAAAAAGAACCUGAAACCGUGUACGUACAAGCAGUGGGAGCACCUUCGGGUGUGACUGCGUACCUUUUGUAUAAUGGGUCAGCGACUUAUAUUCUGUAGCAAGGUUAACCGUAUAGGGGAGCCGAAGGGAAACCGAGUCUUAACUGGGCGUUAAGUUGCAGGGUAUAGACCCGAAACCCGGUGAUCUAGCCAUGGGCAGGUUGAAGGUUGGGUAACACUAACUGGAGGACCGAACCGACUAAUGUUGAAAAAUUAGCGGAUGACCUGUGGCUGGGGGUGAAAGGCCAAUCAAACCGGGAGAUAGCUGGUUCUCCCCGAAAGCUAUUUAGGUAGCGCCUCGUGAACUCAUCUUCGGGGGUAGAGCACUGUUUCGGCUAGGGGGCCAUCCCGGCUUACCAACCCGAUGCAAACUACGAAUACCGAAGAAUGUUAUCACGGGAGACACACGGCGGGUGCUAACGUCCGUCGUGAAGAGGGAAACAACCCAGACCGCCAGCUAAGGUCCCAAAGUCAUGGUUAAGUGGGAAACGAUGUGGGAAGGCACAGACAGCCAGGAUGUUGGCUUAGAAGCAGCCAUCAUUUAAAGAAAGCGUAAUAGCUCACUGGUCGAGUCGGCCUGCGCGGAAGAUGUAACGGGGCUAAACCAUGCACCGAAGCUGCGGCAGCGACACUAUGUGUUGUUGGGUAGGGGAGCGUUCUGUAAGCCGUUGAAGGUGUGCUGUGAGGCAUGCUGGAGGUAUCAGAAGUGCGAAUGCUGACAUAAGUAACGAUAAAGCGGGUGAAAAGCCCGCUCGCCGGAAGACCAAGGGUUCCUGUCCAACGUUAAUCGGGGCAGGGUGAGUCGACCCCUAAGGCGAGGCCGAAAGGCGUAGUCGAUGGGAAACAGGUUAAUAUUCCUGUACUUGGUGUUACUGCGAAGGGGGGACGGAGAAGGCUAUGUCAGCCGGGCGACGGUUGUCCCGGUUUAAGCAUGUAGGCGGAGGUUCCAGGUAAAUCCGGUACCUUGUUAACGCUGAGGUGUGAUGACGAGGCACUACGGUGCUGAAGUGAUAAAUGCCCUGCUUCCAGGAAAAGCCUCUAAGCAUCAGGUAACACGAAAUCGUACCCCAAACCGACACAGGUGGUCAGGUAGAGAAUACCAAGGCGCUUGAGAGAACUCGGGUGAAGGAACUAGGCAAAAUGGUGCCGUAACUUCGGGAGAAGGCACGCUGAUAUGUAGGUGAAGUCCCUGCGGACGGAGCUGAAAUCAGUCGAAGAUACCAGCUGGCUGCAACUGUUUAUUAAAAACACAGCACUGUGCAAACACGAAAGUGGACGUAUACGGUGUGACGCCUGCCCGGUGCCGGAAGGUUAAUUGAUGGGGUUAGCGGCAACGCGAAGCUCUUGAUCGAAGCCCCGGUAAACGGCGGCCGUAACUAUAACGGUCCUAAGGUAGCGAAAUUCCUUGUCGGGUAAGUUCCGACCUGCACGAAUGGCGUAAUGAUGGCCAGGCUGUCUCCACCCGAGACUCAGUGAAAUUGAACUCGCUGUGAAGAUGCAGUGUACCCGCGGCAAGACGGAAAGACCCCGUGAACCUUUACUAUAGCUUGACACUGAACACUGGUCCUUGAUGUGUAGGAUAGGUGGGAGGCUUUGAAGCGUGGACGCCAGUCUGCGUGGAGCCGCCCUUGAAAUACCACCCUUUAAUGGCUGGUGUUCUAACGUAGACCCGUGAUCCGGGUUGCGGACAGUGUCUGGUGGGUAGUUUGACUGGGGCGGUCUCCUCCCAAAGAGUAACGGAGGAGCACGAAGGUUGGCUAAUCCUGGUCGGACAUCAGGAGGUUAGUGCAAUGGCAUAAGCCAGCUUGACUGCGAGCGUGACGGCGCGAGCAGGUGCGAAAGCAGGUCAUAGUGAUCCGGUGGUUCUGAAUGGAAGGGCCAUCGCUCAACGGAUAAAAGGUACUCCGGGGAUAACAGGCUGAUACCGCCCAAGAGUUCAUAUCGACGGCGGUGUUUGGCACCUCGAUGUCGGCUCAUCACAUCCUGGGGCUGAAGUAGGUCCCAAGGGUAUGGCUGUUCGCCAUUUAAAGUGGUACGCGAGCUGGGUUUAGAACGUCGUGAGACAGUUCGGUCCCUAUCUGCCGUGGGCGCUGGAGAAUUGAGGGGGGCUGCUCCUAGUACGAGAGGACCGGAGUGGACGCAUCACUGGUGUUCGGGUUGUCAUGCCAAUGGCACUGCCCGGUAGCUAAAUGCGGAAGAGAUAAGUGCUGAAAGCAUCUAAGCACGAAACUUGCCCCGAGAUGAGUUCUCCCUGAGACCUUGAGUCUCCUGAAGGAACGUUGAAGACGACGACGUUGAUAGGUCGGGUGUGUAAGCGCAGCGAUGCGUUGAGCUAACCGAUACUAAUGAACCGUGAGGCUUAACCUU
rnacentral:rRNA from 3 species